CCUACGGGUGGCAGCAGUGGGGAAUAUUGCACAAUGGGCGCAAGCCUGAUGCAGCGACGCCGCGUGAGCGAAGAAGUAUUUCGGUAUGUAAAGCUCUAUCAGCAGGGAAGAAAAUGACGGUACCCGUCCAAGAAGCUCCGGCGAAAUACGUGCCAGCAGCCGCGGUAAUACGUCUGGAGCAAGCGUUAUCCGGAAUUACUGGGGGUAAAGGGAGCGUAGACGGAUGUGCAAGUCCGAUGUGAAAGGCGGGGGCUCACCCCCUGGACUGCAUUUGAAACUGUAAAUCUUGAGUGCCGGAGAGGUAAGCGGAAUUCGUGGUGUAGCGGUGAAAUGCGUAGAUAUUGGGAGGAACACCAGUGGCGAAGGCAGCUUGCUGGACGGUCACUGACGUUGAGGCUCGAAAGCGUGGGGAGCGAACAGGAUUAGAUACCCGUGUAGUC
rnacentral:rRNA from 1 species